rnacentral:rRNA from 1 species
GACGAACGCUGGCGGCGUGCCUAAUACAUGCAAGUAGAACGCACAGUUUAUACCGUAGCUUGCUACACCAUAGACUGUGAGUUGCGAACGGGUGAGUAACGCGUAGGUAACCUGCCUGGUAGCGGGGGAUAACUAUUGGAAACGAUAGCUAAUACCGCAUAAUAUUGAUUAUUGCAUGAUAAUUGAAUGAAAGAUGCUAUUGCAUCACUACCAGAUGGACCUGCGUUGUAUUAGCUAGUAGGUGAGGUAACGGCUCACCUAGGCGACGAUACAUAGCCGACCUGAGAGGGUGAUCGGCCACACUGGGACUGAGACACGGCCCAGACUCCUACGGGAGGCAGCAGUAGGGAAUCUUCGGCAAUGGACGAAAGUCUGACCGAGCAACGCCGCGUGAGUGAAGAAGGUUUUCGGAUCGUAAAGCUCUGUUGUAAGAGAAGAACGGGUGUGAGAGUGGAAAGUUCACACUGUGACGGUAUCUUACCAGAAAGGGACGGCUAACUACGUG